CUGAUCAGUAUGGUACAUAGAGAAAUAAAUGUAAAUCUAUGAUCUAUGCAUGUGACAUAUAUUAUAGUUAAAAUUAAUAUUUUGAACAUAACAUUCGGCGUACAUAUAAAUUAUGAAUAAAUAAAUGUUUUAUUUAUUAGGAAUAGUAUACUUAGUUUAAAAAUUAAAAUGUAUGCAAAACACAAUAGGUAAGUACUCAUAAAUCUAUCUAUACCUAAAUAUAUUUAUUAAAAUUAAAAAUAUUUAGAAUGGCAUUAAUAAAAGUACCUAAUCGAGGAAUUACUUUUCUUACUCUCGUAUUACCAACAUUGAAAUUUACAUUUUAUUUAUCUUAAGGAAAAAAAUAUUUAGACCUCAAAUUAAGGUUUUCACAUCAGCCUUGAAAUGUAUAUUUGUGGAUCUUGCGAGUCAUAGAAAUAAUUCUUUAUCCAGAUGUUUAAUGUUAUAGUUUUAUAAGAUAUUCAACUAACAGUUAGCAUUACUACUGGGAAUAUUUAAAUAAAUUAUAAAUACCACAUAAAAUGAUUUUAAUAAUGUAUUAAAAUUGGCUACUUUAUAAUAUCACUAAAAUUUAAUUUUAACAAGAAAACAUUUUAUUUAAUGAAAUACAAAUUGAUAUAAAAAAAUAGGUUACUGAUUUUCAUAAUAAAUUAAAUAAAAUAAUCCUGGAAGUCAUAAAUAAUAUUUUAUAUAAGAUUAACUAAGUAUUCAACUUAAAAUAUAAUGUAAAUUAAAACAAAAAGGAUGUCAUAUUCAUGAAAAUCAGUUUAUAUUAGCAAAUAAUUAAUAAUAAUGUUAAGCUAAAAAAUACAAUUCAUACAUACCUAAAUAAUUUAUAUAAAACAUCAGACUAGAGACUGAUUUCUUUGUGAUCUUAAACAACAGUGAAUAAUAAAAAUGAGUAAAUUAUUAAGUCAAUUCCAAAAUACUUAUUUCCCAAAAUGAUGGUCAUGUUUAUAAGGAAAGGAAGAGGGAUCCACUCUGGAAUGUUGGUAAUAAAGGAACUUUAAGGAAUUAAUGAUGUAUAACGGAGGAUCAAAUUCCAUUUGGAAUUUAAUAGCCCACCAAAAAGGAAUUCAUAAAUGGACGACUAGUAUUAUUCAAGUAUUUUGGUUUGAUAGGACAACUGAUAUUUGCAAAAACAAUAUUUAGUAAAUACCCAUUAUUAAAAGCAUUCUACAAAUAUAAAAUAAAAAUAUAUAUAUGUGGGGUAAAUGUGUGUAUGUUAUAUAUAUAUAUAUAUACAUAUAUAUAUAUAUAUAUAUAUAUAUAUAUAUAUAUAAUUAAUAAUUAAUAUUAAUGAUAGUAAUAGUAAUAAUA